ACUGGCUGAAAAUGACCUCAGAUGUGUCUAUGAUCUGGGGUCAGAUAACUGUGCCUAAAGUAUUGUGGUGCAUUAAGCUUAUCUUGUUUGCUUUCUAGCAACAACGAGAUAAAGCCUAUGCACCAACAUGG